UCUUCAAUAGUAUAGUGGUCAGUAUUCCGGCUUGUCAAUAUUGCAUUGCGCCGGCGACCUGGGUUCAAUUCCCAGUUGGAGAG